GGGCCUUGUUGGAAAGGGCAUUGAUGGAAUUAUUGUGUAAUUUUGUAGUUAAUGAAAUUAAGAAACUUGAUUGGAAUGAACAAAUUGAAUUGCAAAUUUGAUUUUCGAUUUAUUACACUUUGAUUUUUAAUUCAUGAUUUUGAAAUGAUUUAUUUUGGCACUACACAUUAUUCAUUUUAAGAAAAUGUUGGAGCUUGAUUUAUGGACUAUUCCAUCUCAAAUGUUGCCAUCUAUUACUACAAUUAAGGUUGUAAAGAAAGACAGUUCUUGGAAAAUCCACACAUAGGUUUGGGAAAGGCAUAAUUUUAAGAGACCUUAGCUUAUAAUUUUGGGGCAAAAAUAUAAUAGAGACAUACAUAACCAAAAGCCCAGCUUGCACUAGACAACCUUCACAAUUAACAUACAAAAAAAUAG
rnacentral:lncRNA from 1 species